AAAGUUUUCCUUACAACACCUAGAAUCUCCUAGUUACUGCCCGUCAAUAGCAUUAAGAACAUCUACUGUAUUGCCUACAUUACAUGUUUACAUCAAACAUAAUAAAGGCCUAGGUCGUCUAUCUUUAGCUUUUGCAUGCUGCUUUGUCUUUCUUCAAAGCAUCUCUGAUUUCUUUCUGUCCAAAUAGUCCUCUAGAUGCAAGCUAGGAUAAUCCUUCAUCUCUUUUUUUUUUGCUGCAUUGUCAUCUCUAUUCCAACACUUUUAACACUUCUGUAAUUUUACCGGAUUUCACCCAUUGGAUCUUUCUCUUAUGGAUGAACAUUUUCCAUAGUUGACC
rnacentral:lncRNA from 1 species